AUCUUCUGAGACCCCUGCACGGCGAGGGCCAUGUCUGACGCUGGAACGUGACGGCCGCCUGCGCCCUGGCCCGGUCUCCCGUCACGGAGCGGAGCUGCAGCAUGGAGCGGCGAGAGGCCCCGCCCCCGGCUCCCACAGAAAACGAAGUGAAAUACGACACCAACAACAAUGAGGAGGAGGAGGAGGAGGGAGAGCAGUUCGAUUUUGACAGCGGAAGAUGAAAUCCCAGAAGCAGACCGGGGCGGCGCCCCAUCAGCCGCCGGCCCCUUGGGGGCUGAAAAUGGAGCUGAACAGAAGCCUGCCUAGGUGGCAGAACCAGCCAAGCCCGUGGCCCCGACCAGAGUGAACCCCUACUCGGUCAUCGACAUCACACCCCUGCAGGAGGACCCGCCCCUGGCCCCGGACCCGCUCGCCGAGGAGGAAAGUGUGGGCCCACACGUGC